AGCCUGAUCCAGCCAUACCGCGUGGGUGAAGAAGGCCUUCGGGUUGUAAAGCCCUUUUGUUGGGAAAGAAAUCCAGCCGGCUAAUACCUGGUUGGGAUGACGGUACCCAAAGAAUAAGCACCGGCUAACUUCGUGCCAGCAGCCGCGGUAAUACGAAGGGUGCAAGCGUUACUCGGAAUUACUGGGCGUAAAGCGUGCGUAGGUGGUUGUUUAAGUCUGUUGUGAAAGCCCUGGGCUCAACCUGGGAACUGCAGUGGAAACUGGACAACUAGAGUGUGGUAGAGGGUAGCGGAAUUCCCGGUGUAGCAGUGAAAUGCGUAGAGAUCGGGAGGAACAUCCAUGGCGAAGGCAGCUACCUGGACCAACACUGACACUGAGGCACGAAAGCGUGGGGAGCAAACAGGAUUAGAUACCCUGGUAGUCCACGCCCUAAACGAUGCGAACUGGAUGUUGGGUGCAAUUUGGCACGCAGUAUCGAAGCUAACGCGUUAAGUUCGCCGCCUGGGGAGUACGGUCGCAAGACUGAAACUCAAAGGAAUUGACGGGGGCCCGCACAAGCGGUGGAGUAUGUGGUUUAAUUCGAUGCAACGCGAAGAACCUUACCUGGCCUUGACAUGUCGAGAACUUUCCAGAGAUGGAUUGGUGCCUUCGGGAACUCGAACACAGGUGCUGCAUGGCUGUC
rnacentral:rRNA from 1 species